CAGAUACAAAGUCGUCAAGUUCCCCACCACCGCAUCCGAAAUCGCCAUCUCUUUCUUGAUCCUUUUUCUUUUUGAAUUUCUCUCUCUCGCUUGAGAAAUUAAAAUUCGUUCACUGCAUGUGCAAGGAAGAUGGGUUUAAAAAAGCCCUCUUUACUUUGGAGUGAGAAUUACGAAAAAAGGAAUGCUUGGAGUUGGAGAGAGUGAGGGAGGUCGUCCUCCCGCAUCGAGUUGAGCUUAUCUUCUUUUUUUAAAAAAAAAAAAUUAGUGCUUUCGGGAAAAUAUUAUGCACCCACUUAACACGCAUUGACUUAUUAAAGAAAAAGAAAUAAAUACAUAAAUAUUUCGACAGCACAAAAAAAAAAAUUUGUUUUUGACGCGUGUGUUCAAGUUGGCCUGUCAUUAUGGUUCUUACACACGUGGCUGUACACCAUUCCUUCGUAUCAACAGAUCUUGCAUAGAAUAUUAAAACUCAGGCACACAAACGACAGCGUUUGGAGCUCACAACAAAGUGGAUUUUUUUUUUUUUUUUUUGAGGAAAGUGGAUAUUAGCUCCAGUCUUUUUUAUUUCGGACACUUUCUUAAUUCUGAUAGGUGUUAGGCUGGCAAUGCCUAUCCCCUAUCGGUUUUUUUUAUGGGUUAAUGAGCAGGAUAGAAAAGACCCGCCUCCAACCGUGUUUAAUCGGAUUGUUUCAGUAGCACAAAAACCCAAAACUACGAAAUAGUGGGCCACCGUUAAUAUUAGAAUAUAGGGAUAAUUUCACAAACCUCCCCUGAGGGUUUUAAUAAUUACAGUGAGUCCCCCUUAAGUUUAAACAAUUACAUAUACAUUCCCCAUUUUUACUAUCUAUGUCUAGGUUCAAUAAACCAAAUUUUCUCUUGAAAAUACUAAAUUACUUUUUUGUACAAAACAAAAAGAGAAAAUACAAUGCACUAAAUCGGUUUCUUCCAUACUUUACAUAAAUCUAUUACCUUAAUUCCUAACAAUUAUCCAAGUAUCAACUUCAAUUCUAAUUCAAGUAGCCAUUCAAAAGAUUCCAAAUUGCAUAUACAGCAUUAAUGCUUAUUACGCAAAAAAAAAAAAAAAUACACACACACACAUACACACACUUUCUCUCACUAACAAACAAUUUUAUACUCCAAAAUUAAAUGUUAAUGCCCUAACACCUUUCCAAUACUUACAACCGGUUCUGCUGCGGAAGCCUGAACCGGACUUGAGACGCCGGGGACUUGACGGCCACGCCGUGCCAGCAGAUGCCACCCCGGCACAUUUCGUGCCCAUCAUGCCGCCCACCGCUAGUACUGUUGCUGCGAUCGUGCCGUGUCAGCGCAUACGUGGCCUUACGGGACACGUCCCACGUCAGACUGGCAAUCAAGAGUACGCCCACCACCGCCGUGGAUGCAAGCAGCACAAAUCCUCCACCGAAGCUCUUCCCACUUGCCAAUCCAUAAGCCUUCAGCGCCGCUAUCGCCACCAGAUACAGAGUCGUCAAGUUCCCACCACCGCAUCCGAAAUCGCCAUCUCUUUCUUGAUCCUUUUUCUUUUUGAAUUUCUCUCUCUCGCUUGAGAAAUUAAAAUUCGUUCACUGCAUGUGCAAGGAAGAUGGGUUUAAAAAAGCCCUCUUUAUUUUGGAGUGAGAAUUACGAAAAAAGGAAUGCUUGGUGUUGGAGAGAGUGAGGGAGGUCGUCCUCCCGCAUCGAGUUGAGCUU
rnacentral:lncRNA from 1 species